rnacentral:rRNA from 1 species
UACGUAGGUGGCGAGCGUUGUCCGGAUUUAUUGGGCGUAAAGCGCGCGCAGGCGGUCGCGUAAGUCUGCUGUGAAAUCUCCCUGGCUCAACCGGGAGGGGGCGGCGGAGACUGCGGGACUGGAGGGACCUAGAGGCCGGUGGAAUUCCCGGUGUAGUGGUGAAAUGCGCAGAUAUCAGGAGGAACACCGAUGGCGAAGGCAGGUCUCUGGGCUGUAACUGACGCUGAGGAGCGAAAGCAUGGGGAGCGAACAGG